CCCCCGUCUGUCUCAGAAAAAAACCGCGCAGCCCGAUCCAGAUCCCCAACCUCCUCUCCUCUCCCAACGCACUCGCCGUCGGCCUCCCUUCCACCUUCUCUCCUCCGUCCGCCCGCCGUCCCCACCAAGCACCACCCGUCCGCCACUGCCACCACCUUCCUCUCCCUCUCCACCUGCGCGUGCCGCCUCCCCCAGCGCCCCGCCCCCCUCGUCGUCUCCUCUGGCGGACGGGGUUGGCCCCGCGGCGACGACGCGGGGCGAUGUGUACCUGGGGCGGCAGCUCGUGGCCGCGGCCGCGGCGGGCGCCCGCGCGCGCGCUAGAGGAGACCAAGCAGCGGCAGAGCAGGGAGCUCGCCUCUCCCUGGAAGCAGCCAUGGAGCGCCUCUGCAGCUCUCCCGAAACCCUUGACGCCGUUUUCCGCGACCAAGCAGCGCCAGAGGAGGGAGCGAGCACCGCUGUAGCUCUCCCGAAACCCUAGCCGCAGGUCAGGUCAGGCCGGCUUCGAUCUAGUCACCCUGGCCAAGAAGACGCCCUCCGGCGUCGCCUGCUGCUACGGCUGCGGCACCCCGCUGCACACCGGCGAGGAGGGGUCCCCCGGCCACGUCGAGCCGGCCACCUACGACCUGGUAAGCAGGCACAUCCACGGGCUCAGCUCGCUGCCAUUUUUAGUGUGUUCAUCGGCUGUACUGAGAAAAAUGAGAUAGAAUGUUGGGAUUGAAUCACAUAAAAGAUAUCCUUGUACAAUGAUGACAGCACAACGGGAGUCAUCCAACCUUUUAACACUGAAUAUAGGGUCAGUUGAUGCCAAAGUGAUUAAACAGUUAGAAUACAGCUGCAUUGUAGUGAAAAACACACUAAUUUGAUUUGCAUUACACAACCUUAAUAUUUUAAUUCAGAAGUAAAAGUCAGUUUCAAUUACAGGAAGUAUCACACAAGGACGUGCAUCAUUGUCCACGACACCAUACAUCUGAAAAUAAGCAAUAGGUCAGUAAAAGAAUACAAGGCCGCAGUCUAGUCAAUUACAGACAAAACAAGAAGCAAAUCUAAUUUUAACGCUGUUGGAUAGAUGGAUACGAUAAUCCCUUUGCCAAUAUAUGCUUCCAAUGGAUAGAUGGAUACGAUACUACUAAUCAAAAAGAGAAUGAGAGAGCACAUUGGUUUGAUAUGACAAAAUCAGUCCUGGAUAUGGUCAUGGAACUAUGUUUUGACUAUAGCAGGGAAAUUAGUAGGCACUCCUAUUUGUACGGGGCAUAGAGUUUAAGUAUUUUUUUACAAAAAAAUAUCAUGGACACUAAAGCAAGUAUUGAAGAUGCUUUUCUGAAAUUCAUCUACAUAAACUUCAGACCUGUAGAUGGGAGUUAACUCUCUUCCUAUUUUUCCGCAUGUAGAUUAAUGUAGUUUAACCAAAUUAGUUAGGGAUGAUAGCCCAUUCAUGAGCAAUAUUGCGAGAUGUUGGUUGCCUUUUAGAGAAAAUCUGGAUCGUGGGGUGACUCUGGCUGUAAACUGAACUUUUGGUUCAGUUAAAAACCAAACUGUCAAAUCUGGACAGAACUGAAGCUCUGAUCUGCUCUGUCACAACUGAAGCAAAAUACAGUACUGUAGUUAGUGAAAACAUCUCAGUCAAGUGUGUUUGCUGUGCUGCUAGAUUGAAAGAACUUAAGCCGCACUGUAGAGUAGAUAGUUCCUGCUACUAUCUUGAGCUUCAAGCUGAUUCUUAAGCGAAUUAGUUAGUUGAAACAUCCUCGUGCCGAUCUGUUCACAACUGAAAUGAAUUACAGUUAGUUAGUUAGCUAGAACGUCUCAGUCAACUGCGUCUGUUGUGCUGGUAAAAGAACCUAAUUUGCAGGAUACAUCCUGCAGAUUGGAACAAGUAUGUGUUUGUUGUGCAUCUGGUGUGCCAAUUAACCUUCUUACUUCAUUCUAGUUGUCGCAGAGGCGUACGAUUCGCUAGAUCUGAACGGGAACAUCACCAUAAAAUGGGAUAUUAUGUCGUGGACUCCUGAUGGUUAUGUUGUGAGUCUAUGAAUUAGGCCAGCAUUGGUUUUUACUGAGGUUUUGAUGACCUCAACAAGUAAGUAGCAUGGCUAGUGAUCGGCUACAUACAAACUCAGGUACAAGCAGUAUAUAUACAUAUAGUGGACUACUGGACUCAAGUGCAGUGAUCAGCAGAUUGUGGAUAAUAAUCUGGUCACCCUUUGGUGCACCAGGCCGAGAGCUUCGCGGAGGUGGACCCGCUGGAGCCGGCACUUCACGGUUUUGAGAUCUUUGCUUUCCCAUGCAACCAGUUUGGUGGGCAGGAACUUGGCAUUGAUAAGGAAAUUUUUUAAAUUGCUUGCAUGCCGAGUAUCUGAUUUCUGACAAGGGUUCUGGUAGCGACGAUGACGGUCGUCGAGAGGUUCAUGGACUGGACGGUGUCGUGGCAGCCGAUGUACAGAGAAGCGAAGCUGCUGCUCAUUCUCUACCUCCGUCCGCUGGUGGCGAGGCACAAGGACGACAUCGACCGGUCCAGUUGGAGCUGAGGGCCAGAACGAGGGACGUGACCACGUCACAACUCAAGGCAGCGGCUGCCGUCAGUCAGGUGUGGCUCUUUGAGGCUAUCCAAUGUGUUUCGUCGCAGCUGCAGGCCGCGAGAUCUGGCCGGGCACACGCAGGCGCCGCACAUUGACGACUGGUCCAAUUUUCGGAUCGGGCCAUAACAACUUAUGUAGGUAGUUGCUUAUGUAACUGUGCGAUAUAAUGGAAUUUACAUGAGUUGCUGCUACAAGAAGAAACGUAGUUGCUUAUGUAACUGUGCGAUAGAAUGAAAUUAUACAUGAGUUGCUGCUACAAUGAGGAACUG